GAUGAACGCUGGCGGCGUGCCUAAUACAUGCAAGUCGAGCGAACAGACGAGGAGCUUGCUCCUCUGACGUUAGCGGCGGACGGGUGAGUAACACGUGGAUAACCUACCUAUAAGACUGGGAUAACUUCGGGAAACCGGAGCUAAUACCGGAUAAUAUAUUGAACCGCAUGGUUCAAUAGUGAAAGUCGGUUUUUCUGUCACUUAUAGAUGGUUCCGCGCCGCAUUAGCUAGUUGGUAAGGUAACGGCUUACCAAGGCAACGAUGCGUAGCCGACCUGAGCGGGUGAUCGGCCACACUGGAACUGAGACACGGUCCAGACUCCUACGGGAGGCAGCAGUAGGGAAUAUUGCGCAAUGGGCGAAAGCCUGACGGAGCAACGCCGCGUGAGUGAAGAAGGUCUUCGGAUCGUAAAACUCUGUUAGUAGGGAAGAAGAAAUGAGUAAGAAAAUAUGCACGUAUUGACGGUACCUAAUGAGAAAGCAACGGCUAACUACGUG
rnacentral:rRNA from 1 species